UGGAAUUGUUGAAUUGCCGCAAUUCGCAACAGUAUCGGUCUCCAAAAAAAUUAUUUCGUCGUCGUGUGCCACCGGAAAAACCCUAACUAAGCUGCAUACUUUUUGAAUUCUAGGAAACUUAACAAUAAAAUGAUCCUGUAAGGAGUUAUCCUGCCAACGCGGCCUCCUCUUUUUCGGAGGAAUCUCCAAUUUGACGUCCUAGAAGCAAUAGUUAUCGACAGUGAAACAAGUCUCAAUUCCGCAUCAUUUAGCUUCAUACUCGAAGAUAUUCUUGGCACUCAAAAAUUAAAACGUCUCCAGUUGUAAGCUCCGUUAACGGACCAAUUGAACGUUUCCACUCCACAUUGACAGAAAUAAUACUCUACCUAAAAGCCGGAUGUAGCCUAUUAUCAUUCCCUGAACUCCUAGACAGAUCAGUUUACGAACAUAAUUUUUCGACACACUUAACAACAGGUAGGGAAACUAUAGAAGUAUUUUUGGAAAAAUAUUAGUACAGACCCCAGUCAAUUCGAAAAUGUGAUGUGUCGACGUUGCGA